CUGUGUUGCGAAACAACACUGUCGCAAGUGCUGGGAAGUGACAUUUAAGUAAGCUGUCAUCAGGGAAGAGACAUGGAGUGGGAGGAAGGGUGAGAGGAGCGAUUGCAGGAUAAAGCCCCUGGCCUGUCAGGAAAUGAUGGGUGAAUUUGGGAGGACAGAGAGGAGCCUCUUACAAAGGUCGACUGACACAAAGUGCUUUCUUAGCAGUUCAGUAGGAACUGAGGGACAGUUAACUGUCUAUCGAGCCCAGCAUGGAUUCUUGCACAAUCCUUAACGUGACUUUGGCGUUUUACUCCGGCUCCACAAUGCGGCACUGGUACUGUGUCUGCAUGCAGGGUUAAAACACGCUGCUCAGCUGAGUGUCUCUCUUGCGUAAUAACAACAACAACAUGGAGCUGACCACCAAACACCAUAAUCACUUUCCAUCGUGGAUCCCGUUCCGGUCCCGACGGGAUGGUCAGAUGCUGGACAGGCUGCACCAGGCCAGGAAUUGUGCUAUGUCUGUGGAUCAGCGUGUGAGCCAGCCAUUGGUGCGCAGGCGGCCGGCCAUGUGAGUGCAUAGCAACAGACUGAAGGGGGGACCUUGUUUUCCUCUUGAAAGGAAUGCCACAGCCACAGUUCCUGUUGAAUUACUGUCCUACACUGACUUUACUUCCAUGCAGCAAACUCUACUUCAUGCUUCGGACUUGUUACGGGCCACACAAGGUCGUCUUUUGUUCUUUUGUCAUUUGUGUUGAGUUACUGGAAACUCACAGGGAGGACGACACACCAACAUGCGACAUUGUACACACAUCAGGCUUUAGACUGCAACUUUAUUUCAUCAUGAACUGGACACCACAACACACACGCAAAGUGCCACCAGUUUAGAAAUGUUUCACAUUUUCAGCAACUUGCUGGAGGGAAACAAAAACUCCCUCACCUCACCUGAACGUCACACACACACAUUUUAAAAGUUCAACUUACAGUACUAACUUCAUUGUACUUCCCUCUGCUCUUUCUCUAAAGUCAACUCUGCAGACUUUAAUUAGUUAAAAGUGUUAAUUAUACCGAGCAAUUUUUUUUUUUUCUGUGUUGCUACCAAUCAUGUGAUUGAAUGAAAUGAGUGCUGAUAAUCAUAGGACAAAAUAUAAAGAGGUUCUGCUAAAAGGAACAUCGCUACCCUGAAGGUUCACAACAGCUGAACAAUAAACAGGCUGGGAACUUUUUGGUAGACAGAGGAAAAAAGAACACACACUCACAAUAAACAUGUCUGUAACAUUCA